rnacentral:misc_RNA from 1 species
GAUGAAGAACGCAGCGAAAUGCGAUAAGUAGUGUGAAUUGCAGAAUUCAGUGAAUCAUCGAAUCUUUGAACGCACAUUGCGCCCCUUGGUAUUCCAUGGGGCAUGCCUGUUCGAGCGUCAUUUGUACCUUCAAGCUUUGCUUGGUGUUGGGUGUUUGUCCCUCGGGACUCGCCUUAAAGUCAUUGGCAGCCAGUGUUUUGGUUUUGAAGCGCAGCACAAGUCGCGAUUCAAGGCUAUCCGCCCGCUUCCACAAGCCUUUUUCACUUUUGACCUCAGAUCAGGUAGGGAUACCCGCUGAACUUAAGCAUAUCAAUAAGCGGAGGA